rnacentral:rRNA from 1 species
CAGUCGAACGAAACUUCUUUAUCACCGAGUGCUUGCACUCACCGAUCAUGAGUUGAGUGGCGAACGGGUGAGUAACACGUGGGCAACCUGCCCAAAAGAGGGGGAUAACACUUGGAAACAGGUGCUAAUACCGCAUAACCAUAGUUACCGCAUGGUAACUAUGUAAAAGGUGGCUAUACUACCGCUUUUGGAUGGGCCCGCGGCGCAUUAGCUAGUUGGUAGGGUAAAGGCUUACCAAGGCAAUGAUGCGUAGCCGAAUUGAGAGGUUGAUCGGCCACAUUGGGACUGAGACACGGCCCAAACUCCUACGGGAGGCAGCAGUAGGGAAUCUUCCACAAUGGGCGAAAGCCUGAUGGAGCAACGCCGCGUGGGUGAAGAAGGUCUUCGGAUCGUAAAACCCUGUUGUUAGAGAAGAAAGUGCGUGAGAGUAACUGUUCACGUUUCGACGGUAUCUAACCAGAAAGCCACGGCUAACUACGUGCCAGCAGCCGCGGUAAUACGUAGGUGGCAAGCGUUAUCCGGAUUUAUUGGGCGUAAAGGGAACGCAGGCGGUCUUUUAAGUCUGAUGUGAAAGCCUUCGGCUUAACCGGAGUAGUGCAUUGGAAACUGGGAGACUUGAGUGCAGAAGAGGAGAGUGGAACUCCAUGUGUAGCGGUGAAAUGCGUAGAUAUAUGGAAGAACACCAGUGGCGAAAGCGGCUCUCUGGUCUGUAACUGACGCUGAGGUUCGAAAGCGUGGGUAGCAAACAGGAUUAGAUAUCCUGGUAGUCCACGCCGUAAACGAUGAAUGCUAAGUGU